AAUCUGCUGCAGGAAGCCCAAAGGAAGGGACCAGCUUCCUAGAGGGCUGAAGAGACUUGCACCAUGAACAGGGAUGCUAGGGCUUGCAGGCCUGAGGCCCUGGGAAGACGGUGAAGGAGCCAGAGGCAGGAGCCGAACAUGCUGAGGGUGUGGGGAAGUGGCCCAGGGGAUUAAGACAGACUGGUGGAGCUUCAAAAACCAGACACAUGGUGCCACGAAGCAGACGCUGAGAGAAGGGAGCCGUAACAGGUCUGCAGGCAAAGGUGAGGAUGGGAGAGCCUCCACCACCCAAGGGCACACCUGCUAAGACUGAGCUAAUUCCCGAAAUGCCCAGCAGGAGGCACCAGUGUGGGUCCCAUGCCACAUGGCUCUGCCUGCCUUCCUCACUGACGACAGCCACUGAGGCAGCAACUGUGAUCAACUCCUCAUCACCACAGCUCCAUGCUGAUUUGGAUCUAACAGGAGUGCAGCUAGCAGAAGGAGAGGGGGAACUUCACUUUCUGAACCCCCUGCACUCUAUCAGCCUCAGUGGCUAGGAGGAGAAAUUGCAGAGAAAUCCUUUGGCCCUGCUGGAGGCAUAACAUUCACAAUGGGGCCACAGUGUGGGCUUUACAUCUGCAACCACUCCACAUGCUUGGGGCCAGGAAUCUUCCCUCUGCAUCUGCUUCGUGCCUAGUUAUAAUCCAUUCUGCAGCAGACAGGCCUGCACAUAAAAAUUGAAGGCCAGAAUUGUGAUUUAAGGAGGACAAGACUUUUUAUUCAAAGUUAAAAUCUAACCUAACCUUUCUCCCAGAUGGUGUAUUUAAAAAACACUGUUCAAAAUUGAGUUGAUCAUCAAAAUAUAAAGGGGAAGGUACAUGAAUCUGUAGAACAGGAACUGUCCCUGUCUGGAUGAGUUCAAGUCUGAGUGGUGUAUUCCUGAUUUCAGUUAGAACUUUUUGCUACCUUUGCAUUUGGAUGUAAUUUUUGAGUCAGGACAUUCUAGGGUGGUUAAGAAUGUCUGUCUGUGGACUGACCCAUGACCUCAAAAUACCCAGGGACCUGCUGACCAACUGGCUGUAUUUUUUUUUGGAUCUGUGGACAUUCCGAGCCUGAAGUGACGAAGGUUUUUCAUUUCUAUGAAGGGGACCUAAUCAGACCCCAUUGGGUGAUGUCAAUGGCUUCAGAAGAAGAAGAAUUCUCUAUUCUGAUGUACCAAAAAGCUCCUAAGAGAAGUUUCAAAGGAGAAAAUACCAGUCAGGUCACCAUGUUCAAAAAGUGGAAGGAACAUUGCUGCUGACUUGCUUGCUUGCCACGGCUGUUGCUAUGGCCAUUAGUGGUUGGUCUGUGGCUAUUGUACCUAACAAAGAGGCCAGUGCUUCCUCCACCCUCCUGUCUGGGGAGCGGGAGUCCAACAGAAUACAACAUCAACAUACUCUACAAGCAAGUAACAUCUAGCCAGCAAUUCUAUCAACAUUAAAUACUGGAAUCACCAAGACCAUCAGGUAAUCUCUUCAACUAGAUACCUGAUUCCAGAAGCUGAAUGAAACCACAAAAGUCACAACAACCUCCUACUAAUAGACAUUGGAAAACCAAAUAAAAAAGGUUGAUGCUUUUGCAGAAGAACAUUUCUACCUCAGCCUCCUUGUACUUGUUUUUAACUCUAGCAGAUGGCUAGUAGAGCCAUGGCUAUAACUCUCAGAAUUUAAGUAGUGACUAUAGAAUAGUUCCUCAGAUACGAAAACCAGCACUAGGUUACACACACAUUUCAUGGGUUAGGAGUUGUAUGCUUAAUCCUGAGAAAUCAUGUUAUUUUCACCUAAAUUUAUUACAUUCAAUAUUCAAAAAAGAUCUGUCAUCUUGAAUUAUAUUGGAAUUCAUUAUAACCCUGUAUUAUAUGGGUUGGCUAUCACCUAACCACUAUUAACCUGGGCAAGCUACCUCAAAAUUAGCUUCAACCUGGGAGUGAUUUGAUCCUCCCUAUAUCAGCUAUUUGGCUGGAGCCUAAAUAUAUCAAUUCGCACUGAGAUUGAUAAUGCCCUGUUAUUUUGGGUGUUAACUUGACAAGAAUGCUGCCUUCUCACAUUCCUUACAUAGAAUUUAUAAGGAAUGGCUGGUUUAUCUGAUAGGGUUUACUCAACCCAAUAAUUAGACUAAUUUGAUUAUUAAUGUUAACCCACUUUAAUUAAAAGUUUUUAUGUAUUGUAUACUCAUUUUUAGUCAUUUCAUUUAGAUAAAUAUAUAAACAUUGUAAACCUGUGUGGUUUGGAUGUUCCCUCCCAAAUGUCAGAGUUCUUAAUUUGAGGAAUCACCAUCUCUAGUCAUGUUCCAUAAAACUGCAUCUAUAAUCCUCCUGUCUUUAUUCAUACCAGCAAAUACUAUAUUGAUAGUUUCUUUCAGUGUGGAGCAAUCAGACAAAAUAAACAUGAGGAGAGUAUAAAGCAGCAUUAUUACACUAAGUAUGGUGCUAACUACAUUAAGCAAACUGGCAUUUAGUUCCAUUUCACAAAGUACACAGUUGUAUUUUGUGAAAAGAUUAGAUUCAGCUACUGAAUAUUAAAACAGCUGUAUAUGGAUCUUUUUGUGUUUGAUGCUUUUCAGAUAGUUUUCAAAUGAAAUUUCACCAACUCAGCUAUGUAAAUAAAAUGAAACCAUAUUCACCAU